rnacentral:rRNA from 1 species
AACGAACGCUAUCGGUAUGCUUAACACAUGCAAGUCGGACGGACUAAUUAGGGCUUGCUCCAAUUAGUUAGUGGCAGACGGGUGAGUAACACGUGGGAAUCUGCCCAUCAGUACGGAAUAACUUUUAGAAAUAAAAGCUAAUACCGUAUAUUCUCUACAGAGGAAAGAUUUAUCGCUGAUGGAUGAGCCCGCGUCAGAUUAGGUAGUUGGUGAGGUAACGGCUCACCAAGCAGAGGAUCUGUAGCUGGUCUGAGAGGAUGAUCAGCCACACUGGGACUGAGACACGGCCCAGACUCCUACGGGAGGCAGCAGUGGGGAAUAUUGGACAAUGGGCGAAAGCCUGAUCCAGCAAUACCGAGUGAGUGAUAAAGGCCCUAGGGUUGUAAAGCUCUUUUAGCAAGGAAGAUAAUGACGUUACUUGCAGAAAAAGCCCCGGCUAACUCCGUG